rnacentral:rRNA from 1 species
AAGCUUGCUUCCACUGAGAAGAUAGUGGCGAACGGGUGGAGUAACACGUGGGUAACCUGCCCAUAAGAGGGGGAGUAACGAUCCGGAAACGGGUGCUAAUACCGCAUAGUUUCUUGAUCGCAUGAUCGGGAAAGGAAAGACGGCCUUUGUGCUGUCGCUUAUGGAUGGACCCGCGGCGUAUUAGUUAGUUGGUGAGGUAACGGCUCACCAAGACGAUGAUACGUAGCCGACCUGAGAGGGUGAUCGGCCACAUUGGGACUGAGACACGGCCCAAACUCCUACGGGAGGCAGCAGUAGGGAAUCUUCCGCAAUGGACGAAAGUCUGACGGAGCAACGCCGCGUGAGUGAAGAAAAGGUUUUCGGAUCGUAAAACUCUGUUGUCAGAGAAGAACAAGUUGGAGAGUAACUGCUCCAGCCUUGACGGUAUCUGACCAGAAAGCCACGGCUAACUACGUGCCAGCAGCGGC